rnacentral:tRNA from 1 species
GCCACGCUGGUCUAGCGGUUAGAACGCUGGCCUUGUAAUCCUGGGGUCUCGGGUUCGAUUCCCGGCGGUGCC